UACGAAGGGUGCAAACGUUGCUCGGAAUUAUUGGGCGUAAAGCGCACGUAGGCGGCUUGGCAAGUCGGAUGUGAAAUCCCUCGGCUCAACCAAGGAAGUGCAUCCGAAACUGCUGAGCUUGAGUACUUAAGAGGAUCGCGGAAUUCCCGGUGUAGAGGUGAAAUUCGUAGAUAUCGGGAGGAACACCUGUGGCGAAGGCGGCCGACUGGGCCGACCCUGACGCUGAGGCGCGAAGGCGUGGGGAGCGAACGGG
rnacentral:rRNA from 1 species